CCCGAGAACUUGCCUUCCCAGUUGUGGCACUGCGCUGGAGAGCUGUGAGUCAUUAGUUUCCCCGCGGCGGACCUGGAUUUGGAUUCGGAUUCGGACUCUCAGUUGAUGCAGCCUGUCACCUUGAACAAACCCUAGUACCUGAAUGGAAGCUGUGUGCCAAAGGCCAUGGAAGAGGCCUUCUGGGAGUCCACUGCAGGAAGAAAGGCCUGGACCUUGACAAACCUCCAACGAUGGGGAGUGGGGGGGGGACUGGACAAGGUCAGAGCUGAAAGGUGCUUACUCACUGGAGGGCAUCAGGAUGUGGGAGCUGACUCCACAGGUGUGCAUACUGGUGAUGUUAGGCUAAGGACUGUGAAUAUGGGGCACCAAUGUCAAUGAACCCCUGAACCAGGGACAGAGAAAAGUCACUCAGCUGACAUGCCACCCAUGUAGAACAUGGGGGCUGUAGAGCAUUGCAUCAGGCUAGAGUAAGACCUUCCUACACCAUCAAACAGGGGAAGAGGAGGGCUGUUGAGAUGGCUGUACAGUGAAAAGCACUGGCUUCUAUUCCUGAGGACCCAGACUUGUUUCCAGAACCCAUAGGAUGUGUACAUCUAACUGCAACUCAGGUCCCUGGAGAUCCCAUGCACACAUGCAGCCAAAUACCCAAAUAUACACAAUAAAAAUAAAGAGGCAUGGAGGGGAAGAAGAGGAGAUGCUGGGAAAACAUUGUGCCUAUUCCUAUAGCCAGCAACGAGGUAGGACUGUGAAGUAAAGUUACCCAGGGUUGGUGAGUGCUUGGUUCUGUACGUCCCAAAACCCAGUGUCUGCCUACUGAAGGGGUUUGUGGGGCUUCCCUGAC